UGGGACUCAGUUUUCUUGUGGCCACA
rnacentral:piRNA from 1 species